AGAGGGACAUUGAUGCGCUG
rnacentral:misc_RNA from 1 species